UAGUUAUUUGAUAUACAAGAAUUUUAGCCAUACAGUGUUUAAGCAUAGUUACUUUGACAUUUUUAGAAAUAAACUUAGAUGGAAAUGUGAAUCAAUUAGAAUUCGAACUUGUAAUCUUGGGUAUCGACCACCAAGUCCUUUGUCACUUGCUCCAGAAACGGACGAAGGGUCGGUUUCAGAAUAUGAGAUUAGUAAAGUCAUUUUACUGAAAAUAGAGCUAUAA
rnacentral:lncRNA from 1 species